GGGGAUGUAGCUCAGUUGGGAGAGCACCUGAUUUGCAUUCAGGGGGUCGCAGGUUCGACCCCUGUCAUCUCCACCA
rnacentral:tRNA from 1 species